AAUCCUUUACUAUCUGUUUGGGUGUCACAUGUAGGUUAGCUAUGAAACAAGUGGCACCACGUGGGAUGGUUCAAGUGUGAACUCCUUCCUCCUCUCUUUGGUUGCUGGAAGCAAACUCUCCUUUGCUUUCUCUUGCUACUUUCUAAGCACCUAUUUCCCAUUUUCCUGUACUCACAUGCCUUGUUAUAGCAGCAAGGCCAAUGCAAGAGCAUUCAAUGUUGAACAUUCGGGAUAUAAGAAUGAUUGCAGUUAUAAGACCUUAGCAUAGAAGUUAAACAAGAACUACACAGUAGCUCUAUUCAGAUGUACAUUUACCACAGUAUGCUAUGUAAACCAUCAUUUAUUCCAUACAAAGAACUAAGUUAGAAGAAUGUUAAAUUUCAAAGUUAAGCACACAUGCCAUCACUGAGGUUUUUCGGCAAUUUUUAGGUCUGUCACUUUGUGUAUAUUCAUUAUGUUGUCUAAAUUAAAUGAACACAUACUAUUUCCUCAAUAAAAUAUAAUACAAUUCUACAAACUUAGAUACAAAUAUAACUUCUUGUUACUACUCUGGGUAUGCCAGAAUACAGAAUAUGGAAAAAUAAACAGGUAAUGACAUAUCCAAAUAGAUCUGAGUGGAUUUCACAGCACAUGUUGAGAGACUUGUUUUCACUCUAGUUCAGAACUAAAUCUGAAAAUCCUGAAAUUUUCUGAAAUAAAAUAAAGAUAUCCUUCUCCAUUGAAAUGUUUUGCUUUGAUAAAAUCAAAAUAAUUGUUUCAAUUUCGAUUUUGUCAAAUUUUAUAUAAAUAUAUAUUCAAAAUUUUAAAAAUUAAAUCAAAGUCACUUCAAAAAGGUAUACUGAAAUGUUUUGUACUGAAAAUGUCAACACUGGAUGUUUUUGCAUUGUUAGCACCUUUUUUCUACAAUAAAACUUUGGUAUGAGCUACACAAUUUUGUGAAGUGUUUCAAUUUUGAUGGGACUCAAUUUUUCAACAAAAAAACAUUGUGUCAAUUUUUUUUCUAACCACUCUACACCCAAAGGUAUAUCAGUUGGAUAUAUUUUUACUUUCUGUCCCUAGUUGUUUGGGACAGUAAAUCUGUCCCAAAAUUACUGUAAAUACUUUUUAAUAGGAUAGAUAGAUAGAUAUUUAAAUUAUGCUUAUAUGCCAAUGAUUAGUUUCAAAUUUUUCUCAAUAAUUCAUUUUAGGGCAAAGUCCAAGCUUGAAAUUUUUGAGCAUGAAAAGUAAAUUUCACAAAGUUAUGAGUGGCUUAAAACAGAGGGUUAGGAUGGAAACUGUUAUGUGACCUUACUGAUAACAUCACUGCUACUAUAGUUUAAGUAUCAGAGAGGUAGCUGUGUUAGUCUGGUUCUGUAAAAAGUUCCUGCUAUAGUUUAAAGCUAUACUUGCUUUACAGUGUAAGAACACGAUGUAACUUUGUCCUAAAAGUCUUCUAGACUGUUUUACACUGUCCGUUGUUUCCACGGAGAAGGAACACAGUGUAAUAGAAAGAUAGUGAAGCACACUGUGGUGAAAAAAAGGACAGGGAAUUUGUGCUGCUCUAGGAGAAUAACAGAAACACUAUGAAACCAGAUAUUUUGCUGUAUCUCAGGGGUAAAGUGCACUUUACUGUUCUGAAUUUUGCAAGAACAGAAGGUUGUAAAGUACCAGGAGUUAAAUGGGACUGUCAUGUAGAGUGCUGGGGUCUAUCAACCCUCACAGUACAAGUGGAGCGCUGAAGAUUCACAGGAUAAUUCUUGCAGGAAGGGAAGGAGUUUUGGAUUUCAGGCAAUAUAUUGCCAUUUCUAUAAAGUGUUCAGGGUUAAAACAGGGCUUAACAUAUGUUUUUAAACAUACAGGCCAAGAUUUUCAAAAGUGGUUAGUAUCUUUGUAUACCUCAGAUUUUGGAUGUUCAACAUGGAACACUUUAAAGGGGUCUGAUGAUUAGAAGGUGCAUUUUCAACAGCAGGAAAGAAAGAUACAUAAUCUGCAUGAUUCUGGAGCACUGUGGUGAUGCACUUCCUGAGAUACUUCUAAUUCUCGUCCUGUGAGUUGUCCUAGUGGCAGCUCUUGGGCUGAUAAGGAAAGGUUUGCAUUGAGAGAUCUUAUAGGGGGCAGAUUUUAUUUAGGUUCUGCUGUAAACCCCAGCAGAUGCCCUGCUCAGCGGAGAUUUCUCAUUCACUUCAAUAACUUUUUUAUAUUUACUUUCAUCACAAAUGUAGAGCCUACUCCUCAGUGAGGACUAUUUACAUGCAAAGUCUGGAGGUUUUAGUUAAACACAAUCAAUCACCAAUUUAUCAAAUAUCAAUGGUUAAUAAUAUAGCUGUUUCAUGGCUGCCAUGUUUUUCCUUCACUUCUGAUGAAACCCUUCUUCUUGUCAUCAAAGAAAUUCAUUGGGUCCAGAGAGAUGAAGUGAGACUAGUGAUAUUUCUAGUGAGGCUUACAGUUCCAAUACGCCAGCCUCAAGCAUUCAGAAAUCAUUAGUCAAGUCUCAAAAGAUCAUGAGAUUAUGAGCUUGAAAAAUCAUACUUUUAAAAAAAUAAUAAACUUGGAGUUCUUUUUAAUUUUCUUCCGGUUUCUGAGCCUUAUUCAGGUCACACUUUCAAGGUGCACUCAGGUCACACUUUCAAGCUUUUCUUCACAACCAAGAGGGCUAAAAUGAAAAAGAGAAAACAGAUUCUCACAGAAUCAUUUAAAGACAGGAGCUGGGGUUCUACGAAAAAUAUUGUGAGACUCUAAAUAAAAUCAUGGUAAAAUUUCAUGAACUGCAACAUUGCAGUUCUUUACAGAAGUAAUUUGAUUGGCCUUUUGCCUUGAGUUUUAAAUCUUCUUCUCUUGCCUGCAUCUUCAUUAUCUUCACCACUAACUUGUUGGUUUUGCAGUUCAGCAGAACUUUAGUAAUGUUCUCAGAAGAGCUAUUUAUAUACUGUGACAUUUUUCAAAGUGCUGCUUGUUCUUCCAUGCUCUCUACAUACCUAAUGAAAAGGUAAGUAAGUAAGAAAAGUGCUUAACUAUUCAUGAAAUGUUUAAACAGAAAAUGGAACAGCAAUUCUCAUUAAUUCCAUCAUAUACUAUUAUUUUAAAUGUAUUUAAAUGCAAUGCUGUAUUGUUCCAGGCAGCUGCUAAUGUCCAUCUCCUGGGCUGCAAUAAGAGGAAACAUAAGCUGGUUAGAAAAUCUGUCAGAAGCAGGGAUUCACAGAUUGCAGGAGUGGACUAUUAACAAAUUUGCCCCUAACAUUUCCUACUGUUGUAAUAGCGAAUGACCAAGCUGCAGCAUCUUAUCCUUCAGGUUUUUUUGUUUCUGCUGUAAUAACAAAGCUGAGUGGCAUGUACCCUGUUUGCAUAGUGGGUCUUAUUGUCAUUGUCACUGAAGAAAAAUGAAUGCUUGUAAUGCCCCUGGGUUAAUACGUAGUUUCUGAAACUCAAGACCAUUCCAAGCCUUUUUAGAGUCUGAACUGACUUUGAGUUGUGUAUGCAUUUCCCUAAUUUUAUAAAAUCACUCACUGAAGCAAUGUGGUGCUCACCUAGCUUGUCUUUAUGCCUUCUUCCAUUAAGUAUAAUCUUUUGGAGACUUAAUUAUGAUGCAUCAAAUGGCUGUAUGCAAAUGUGGUGUUCUAUCUCUCUGCCCUGUCUUGAUUUGUGUUGGUGACAAUGUAAUGUAACUUUCAGAGCCUGAAAAUUUUCAGAUAUGUAAUUAUGAUUACAAACAUUUCUUACCAUUAUUUAGAAUACUCCAGCCAAGGGAGGAUGGACAAUCUUAUGACUAAAACACAGGGCUUCUGAAUUCUUCUUAGCUCUUUUACAGAUGUCCUGAAUGAAACUGGGUGAAUCAUUUGGCCUGUCUGAACCUUCAUUUCUUUAUCGUUAAAAUAAGAAUAAGAUUUCCCUUCCUUAUAUACAGAAAACAGUCUUGGUAUUCGUGUUCUUUCAAUCUUUUCUUAACAAUUCUAGCUGAAAGUAUUUAGGAUAUCCAUUGGCAUUACUCUUAUUAAUAGUGGGAUUUUGAAAAAGCAGCCAGAAUAAAAUACUAUGCUGUACAACUACAACCUUUGUCUUUAAAGAAUGAAAAUAACUUUCAUGUUAUUGCUUCACUUAUGUCCAGCAACAACUGCUUCUAAUUUGGUUGUCAUAACAACCACAUCUCAGCUUUCACAUUUCUCACCUUUGUGCCCAGUUUGUUUAUAAAAGGUCACGUCAGACCUGUUCCAUGUUACCUCUACAUCCUUAUAUCAUUCGCAAAACCAAAUAUAAACAGACACCUUAGCGAAGACCAAAGUAAGGAAUGCAGGAUACGUCAAUAUUUAUGUUGGAAAAUGUCAGUCAUAAUGAAAAAAAUUAACUUUGAAAGUAUUUAAAGUCCAAAAUAUAAUUUAGGGCAACAUUCUAUGUCUCGGUACUGUCAGUAACUGUAAGAAAUCUAAAUUCUAAGAAAUUUGGACAAUCUCAAUUCAAGUACACUGUGUACUCACAUUUUUCAUAUUAAUUACAUAGGAAUUACUAUACUGGCUCAGAACAGUAGUCCAUCUAGUCCAGUGGCCUGUCUCCAACAGUACCCAAGACCAGAUGCUUCAGAGUAAAAAUGAGUGAAAUUCAGAACUUCGAUCUCACGGGAAAUUCUGACACUUAGUUUUCAUUCUAAAUCAGGACAAAAUACUGAGAUUUUUGACAUUUUUCUGCAACACAAAUUCUGAACAUUUUUGAUUUUGAAAUGUGGAGGUGGUCUCUAAUUCAGGUUUUACUGUUUCAUUUAAAUUUAUCCACUAGAAACUUUUUAUGUUUGGAAAAUGUUUUAAUUUUACAGUAACUGCAUUCUCAACUGGAAAAAUCAUUCUCAUGGAAAAUUCCCAACCAGCUCUGCUUCAGAACAAGGGUUAAAACUUCCAUAAUGGACAAUUAUGGAAUAAUAAUCUUACGAUGGGAGUUUCUUAGCCACAGUGCUUGUCUUAUCUCUUACAUCAGGAUGUAUAUCCCUUGUAAAUGUUUAUUUUAGCUAGUGUAAAUCGUGAUUAUAUACAGAGCUUAAUUUGUCAGUGCUAAGCCUUGGCACCUCUAGGCUUGGCACUUCAUAGCUCUGGCAACUCUGGGCUUGCUGCAUCAGUUAUGAAUGUA